rfam:Cavia porcellus supercont2_101 genomic scaffold, whole genome shotgun sequence.
GGGGAUUUAGUUCAGUGGCAUAAGCACCUGCCUUGCAAGCAGGCAGUUCAAUCCCCG